GUGCUUGCUUUGGCAGCACACGUACUAAAAUUGAAACAAUACAGAGAAGAUUAGCAUGGCCCCUGUGCAGAGAUGACACUCAAAUUGUGAAGUGUUCCGUAUUUUU
ensembl:snRNA U6 U6 spliceosomal RNA